rnacentral:rRNA from 1 species
AGUGAACGCUGGCGGUAGGCCUAACACAUGCAAGUCGAACGGCAGCACAGUAAGAGCUUGCUCUUACGGGUGGCGAGUGGCGGACGGGUGAGGAAUACAUCGGAAUCUACUUUUUCGUGGGGGAUAACGUAGGGAAACUUACGCUAAUACCGCAUACGACCUACGGGUGAAAGCAGGGGAUCUUCGGACCUUGCGCGAUUGAAUGAGCCGAUGUCGAAUUAGCUAGUUGGCGGGGUAAAGGCCCACCAAGGCGACGAUCCGUAGCUGGUCUGAGAGGAUGAUCAGCCACACUGGAACUGAGACACGGUCCAGACUCCUACGGGAGGCAGCAGUGGGGAAUAUUGGACAAUGGGCGCAAGCCUGAUCCAGCCAUACCGCGUGGGUGAAGAAGGCCUUCGGGUUGUAAAGCCCUUUUGUUGGGAAAGAAAAGCAGCAGGUUAAUACCCCGCUGUUCUGACGGUACCCAAAGAAUAAGCACCGGCUAACUUCGUG